GCUUGGGGUACUGACCUUUGCCUCUACC
rnacentral:sRNA from 1 species